UACAGAGGGGGCAAGCGUUAUUCGGAAUUAUUGGGCGUAAAGGGCGCGUAGGCGGCCUGGCAAGUGGAAGGUGAAAUCCCUCGGCUUAACCGAGGAACUGCCCUCCAAACUGCUUGGCUUGAGUCCGGGAGAGGUGAGUGGAAUUCCCAGUGUAGCGGUGAAAUGCGUAGAUAUUGGGAGGAACACCAGUGGCGAAGGCGGCUCACUGGACCGGAACUGACGCUGAGGCGCGAAAGCGUGGGGAGCGAACAGG
rnacentral:rRNA from 1 species